GAGAGAUGGCCGAGCGGUUGAAGGCGCUAGUCUUGAAAACUAGUGAUACUGGAAGGUACCGGGGGUUCGAAUCCCUCUCUCUCC
rnacentral:tRNA from 1 species